GUAAUAACCUCUUGUUCAACAGCUGCUAUACAUUUAACUUGAGAACUAUCUUUCUUCUCUAAUCUACCCUUGUAGCCUUGACCCUGAGUCCACUUAAAUAUAUGCCCAUCAUAGCUGCUCGUCAGAAUCAGCUUUGGAUCACUCUGGACCACUGUUAAUGCAUUGACAUUUUUCAGGUGUCCAGAAAAGGAUACAGGGGCUUUAUCAAGAUCACUAGCAGAA
rnacentral:misc_RNA from 1 species